UGAAACCGUGUACGUACAAGCAGUGGGAGCCCUGAUUUAUCAGGGUGACUGCGUACCUUUUGUAUAAUGGGUCAGCGACUUAUAUUCUGUAGCAAGGUUAACCGAAUAGGGGAGCCGGAGGGAAACCGAGUCUUAACUGGGCGUUAAGUUGCAGGGUAUAGACCCGAAACCCGGUGAUCUAGCCAUGGGCAGGUUGAAGGUUGGGUAACACUAACUGGAGGACCGAACCGACUAAUGUUGAAAAAUUAGCGGAUGACUUGUGGCUGGGGGUGAAAGGCCAAUCAAACCGGGAGAUAGCUGGUUCUCCCCGAAAGCUAUUUAGGUAGCGCCUCGUGAAUUCAUCUCCGGGGGUAGAGCACUGUUUCGGCAAGGGGGUCAUCCCGACUUACCAACCCGAUGCAAACUGCGAAUACCGGAGAAUGUUAUCACGGGAGACACACGGCGGGUGCUAACGUCCGUCGUGAAGAGGGAAACAACCCAGACCGCCAGCUAAGGUCCCAAAGUCAUGGUUAAGUGGGAAACGAUGUGGGAAGGCCCAGACAGCCAGGAUGUUGGCUUAGAAGCAGCCAUCAUUUAAAGAAAGCGUAAUAGCUCACUGGUCGAGUCGGCCUGCGCGGAAGAUGUAACGGGGCUAAACCAUGCAC
rnacentral:rRNA from 1 species